rnacentral:lncRNA from 1 species
UUUUUUUUUUUUUUUUUUCUUUCUUCUCUCUAGGAGUUGGGUGUGGGGCGGAGGAUAGAUCCACUGUGGAAUUGGCCCCUCUGAUCCGAUAUGGCUGGCGGUGGUGGUGCCCUGUGGUGGCAAGAGGGCUGGUGGAUUCAACCUGAUGGUGGUUAUGACUCAAUUCUGAGUAAUAAUCUCUUGAAGGGUAGCGAUUUCACGGAUGUUGCUGAUACCAUGGAGGUGAUGACAGAAAAUGUCGACGACGAGGUUCCCGUUCUAACAAAGGUAUGGGUGUCCGUGGCUAGUGGUCUGCCUAGGAUGGUGAUGGCGCAAAGUUGGCUGGGAAAUUGGGUUUAUGUUGCUAGAGGCAAUGACUUCAGUCUGGGUUUGGUUUAUGCCGAAUUCAAGGACGAGCAUGAUGACGGUGUGGUGGCUGGAGGUAGUUCCUACUACACCUCUCCUAGGUUGGGCUUUAAGCCUAAAAUUCUAGGGUUUCAGAAUGGGCCUUGGACAUAGAGCUUCAAUUUUUGGGCAUCUUCUGCCCUCUUAGAUCCAGGAGAUGCUUCUUCUGAUUAGAUUUUUAAACUAAAGAUAAUUUUGUCAUUCAUAUAUUCAUCACAUGCCACAAUAGGUCAUUACAUAUCAUGCCGUUGCCAUUGAAAGCAGUCAAGAAGUUAAGUGGGAAUACCCACUAAUGAUUAGGGGUGGACAUAAAAAACCGUAAUCUCGAACCUGUCCUGGGCCUGUCCCGAAAUUUGCCGGGACGGGACGGGAUUUAAAUCUUAAAAUGUUAGGCCCGUCCUGUUUAUAUAUAACGGGACAGGACACGGGACGGAUAAUUCAAGUCCCGUUUAGGCCCGUCCCGUCCCGUCUUAUCCCGACUAUUUUAAUGAUUGAUUUUUUAUUAAUUAAGAUGUGAUUUAAGCAUUUCAUUUAAAUGUUUUGAUCUUAGCUCUUUGUUUCUUUAAGUUACUAGGUUGUUAUCAAUUCAAUAACAGUGAUGUUUAAUACUUUAAUUUGUUGAUUGUUGUAGACUCUCUUAUUGCACCAUAGUAGUAAUGACAAGUUUGGAGAAAGUAAGUAGUAUAAACUCUCUUAUUACAUCAUGUUGUACCUGUAAAUAUGUUACACGUACUUGUUAAUACAUAAUAGAGUAAAGAGCACUAUAAAACUAUAAAACUAUAAAACUCUUUCUUUUGCUUACACGUUUAUUUUCAACUUUUUUUAUCUGGGAUUAGACCCGGCCCGUCCCGUCGCAUCUCGUCCCAACCGGGAUAGGGCCCGGGUGGGAUGAAAUCUAAAAAACGCAAAGCCCGUCCCGUCCCGAUUUCAAUGACCAGGACGGGCCGUGAGAUUAGCUUUAUCCCGUCUCAUCUAGCCUUAUGCCCAGCCCUACUAAUGAUACAUAGAAAUAGACUUAUUGUAAAAUCAGAUACAUAGAGAUAACAGAUAUUCUUCUUCGGUACUACUCCAAAGACGCUAGAGAUACUCAAAACUACCAUAGAAAAUAGACAUACACGCCGAGAGGCGCAUGAGGCACACAAUGUGCUUAGGAUCCUAAUGAAAGGAACUUAUUGUAAUAGAAAAACUAGAAAAAUAAAAAUAGCAGCCCAAAACCCAAAAAAGAACUAAACCUAAUCUCAAACAGUUGACCUAGCCCAGCCUUUCUUCCUAGUUGCAGGUAAGACAUGAAAGAAAAGCCGAAUACCGUCACCGUUGUGAAAACAGCGCCGCUGAGUCCCGCAACCACUAACACGGGAAGAAAAAAACUCCAUCUUUUCCACGAACACAGGGUCCACACAACACCUCCUCCAAACCAAAAUUUCUCCCUUAAAAAACAAGGAUGGAGAUUUUACGCCGUCACCGCCAUUCGGGAAGAUGGAAUCAUAUCUAUUCCUCAAGCCAGUUUUCAUGGUGAUAUACCUCCAACCCGAUCUGAAAAACCACACUGGUUAAAAGUUGUUUAGAACCUCUAGCCAAUUACCUCUCAAAACAAUGAGUUGCCGACGUAUCCUUUAUCAGUCAGCAAAGUCAUACAACAUCUGUGCAAUCAAAAGACUUGCCUAGCCUUAGACUGCCGCCGAAUGAGGAUGGGAUUUUGUGGUUGGUUGCCGACUUAGAGAGAGAGAGAGAGAGAGAGAGAGAGAGAGNNNNNNNNNNNNNNNNNNNNUUUUUUUUAAGAAGGUUUAGGGUUAUGUUUCAUCUUGUUGUAUUUCAUUAUCUAAAAUUAAAAGAAUAUGUCGAUUUUCCUCAAUCCUCAAUUUUUUUUUUUUUUUUAAGAAGGGCCGGUGCCUUGAUUAAUGAAACCAUAGAAUACAAGAGGGGGACAUAGAGCCUAAACCCCAAAUUACAAAGAGUAACAUAUUCUAACAUGUACCAGUUAGCAAAGAGUGCAUCAUUGACAACUCGAUAUGUUUUAACUAAACGGAAAGAUAACUGUACUAAGGACAAGCAUCAUGACGAUUAAUAGUGCAACUUUCCUAUUAUGUUGCCGCACGGAAUCAUAUCCGGCGACCCUAUCUUUCAUCCUGUCAUUAGGAGGUUGAGACCGUUUGACAAAGCAAGAACUCGCAACUCACCUAGGACAAACAAGGCACGCAAGGUGCCAAUACCGGGACAACGCCCACAUCUCCUUAUUGAAAACAAUAAAUAACUAGAAGCUAGUAAAAUAAAAAAACAUAAAGCUAGUAAUAUAAUUGCCCUAAGUGGGCUAAUUUCCUUAACCCUGGCCCAAUGGACCAACCCUAGCAACAACCCAGUCCUCUUUCCAGCCCAAAUCCGAAGUUGCUCUGCCUUGUCUCCCCACCACCGGUGUCAGGCCUCCAACGCCUCGCCGUCCGGCCAUCGACCAAGCAUCUCAGUCCCUCCACCACCUACUAGCACACCGAGAUUAUGCAAAUGGAUUCGGAGCCAACCCAACCCGCCAUUGAUCUGAAGCAGCCGUCCCGUUGAUCCAACUGGCCAUCUUGCUCGCCGAUAGCCGCCUGAUGCCGCUCCAAUCCUACACAAUCUCGAUUCCUCCUCUCUGAUCCUAGCCCGCCUCAAUAAGUCAACCACAAUUUGAAACCAAGAAAGGGAGAUCAGGUUACCUUUCAGUCCGAUCCGCCGAACCAGAGGCAUCAAUCCAACACCGAGCACCUGUCCAACCACAACCAUUAUGUGCCGGUUAGGCCGCCAUUGCCGGCGCCGCGGCGCAACAGGACAAGAAAAAAGAGGAGAGGCGGCGUACUCUAGGUUUUCUGAGAGAGAGAGAGAGAGAGAGAGAGAAGAAAAAGAANNNNNNNNNNNNNNNNNNNNNNNNNNNNNNNNNNNNNNNNNNNNNNNNNNNNNNNNNNNNNNNNNNNNNNNNNNNNNNNNNNNNNNNNNNNNNNNNNNNNNNNNNNNNNNNNNNNNNNNNNNNNNNNNNNNNNNNNNNNNNNNNNNNNNNNNNNNNNNNNNNNNNNNNNNNNNNNNNNNNNNNNNNNNNAGACCGUUAUACCCUAUAUAAUAAUGUAAAAAAAGACAGCGUACAAAUGAUUUCCUUUUUGGUAGGCAAAUGGCAAAGGAGGGUACGAGGUUUUGUUUUAUGGAGUUGGGCGACGUGGACGGUCCUUCUCCAUUCAUGCAGAGUCGUCCCCACAUUUCCUAAAUCCUUCGUUUUCCUCAGUUUUUAUUUAUUUUAUUUCUUCAUUAUUGAUUAGUUUACCGUAAAAUUAAAUAGUACUUCAAAUUUGAGAAAUAUCUAAGUUAUAAAAUUACUCGAAUGACCUUUUAUUUUAAUUUUUGAUAAACAGGGUAAGUACUCCCCAUAAGGAUUUAACCUCUAGAUUUAAAUUUUUUUCCCAAAUGUCGACUGACCCAAAGGAGGAAAUAACUUGGGUGACCAGUUAUGGUCAUUUAUAUGUGAAAAACACCAAUGAGAGAUGGACAAGUGUCAACAAUAAUUAUAAAUAAACAUGUCAAAUACCCAAAAUCCUCAUGUUAUGUCCUUAAAUUACAGCCAAGCCUUUUAAAAUAGACACGUAUUCCAUGUUCAUUGGUUGUGGCCACCAGUUUUUUUUUUUUUGGGUAUGAAAGGAAGUGACCAUUACUAGUUGCAGAAACUGUUGAAAGUUCAAACUGCCACAGCCUGAAAAUGUCAUUAAUUAGCAUGCCUAUGAAGGAACAACAUUCGCCAAAUUAUGAUUAGACUCCAUACGACGACCACAUCUAUGCUAAAGGCAUAGUGUGAGCAUUAGCAACAAUAAGUCUCCUCCCUAAGGAACACGAAAAGUUCAUAAGUAUGAUGUUGAUGCCCUCAAUUGCAAGCAUAGAACUUUUCCAUUUUUCCUUAAUAUGUAGGUAACCAUUUCUUUGUUAUUGGAUUAUGGCGGAAAAACUUGAAUUGUGACCUAACCUAAUACUGGUUGAGUUUAUUUCUCGAAACAUUUCAAGCGCAUAAUCAAAAUUGUGUUUUCUCAACACGUUUGUUUUCCUUUGCAUGUCAAGCAUGAAUAAUCCACAAUUAUAUUACUGAAUCACAAUAGGUAUAGUUACAACAAGAUUAUUAGAAUUUGCCUGAUUAAGUAUCCCAUGUUAUCAUAGAUCUCAUAGUUAUAAAUUAAUUUACAGGGGGCAUUUGUCAUUUAGGCAGAAACUCGAAUCACAUAAAUAAAUGAUUUAGCUUGGAUUUCUUAUACAAUAAUUGCUCUAAUACAAUAAAAAGGCAUCAGACAUGAAUCACACCAGACAUGGAGCAUCAAGAAGAUUAAUAUCAAUCAUACUUUUCUAGAACUUCCAUGCCCCAAGAAAAAAAAAGAAAGGGAAAGAAAGAUCAUUGGAGAUGAGGAAGAUUUAAAACUCAGAUUAAUCUUCAAAGGUAAACAAAAUGACUAAAUGUGGAUGCUCAGGGGAUCCGGAUCCUCUCCUCAUAACUCUCUGCUAAUAUUGCCUCACAAGAUGAUCUUGGCUGUCCAGUCUUAAUCAACGGUCAAGAUGUCUCUGAGUUUAGUUUUUUGGUUUAGUUUUCGUGAUAUUUUCAUCUCCUCUCGUCUCUUCCCGAAUUCUCGUCAGAUAUCUCAUCUGUUUUAUCGCACUUCUUCUUUUCAGUCUUCUCUGAGCUCUCAAAAUCACUCUUGCUGCAGUUGCCCGUGCAUUAUGCCCUUUCCUUUGUAUGUUUGUUGUUUAAUAUUGUUGUUGAACUUAAAGUAUACAAGAAUAGAGCAGCGAGAGAACUUUGGGAUUUUGAUUGAAACUAAGCUUUACCAAUUUGACUGCAAUCUGCAAACCAAGUUUUGCAGAAUGAUCCUCAGUAAUUUGCUAAGAACAUGAUCAAUAGNNNNNNNNNNNNNNNNNNNNAUAUCUCUCUCCAUUAUCAUAUCAUGAUUUAUUCAUCUCUCUCUCAUCUACCCUUUCUCCAUAAUUAAACCAAACCCCUUGCAAAUCAACCCCAUAUAUCCCCAAAGCUCCAAUUUCUUCCCUGUAAUUUCCAUCUCCGGCGAAUGGUGGGUUAUGCGUCCCGAUAUUGAUCUCUAACACCCAGAACCGGAAUCCCAUUCCUUCCACAAUUUGAUCGAAUUUGCGACGAAUUCGGGUUUCUUCUUAGCAGGGGCAAAGCUGGCAGUGGCCCAUGCUCAGAUCGGCCUGCCGGGCUUUCGAUGCUUCAGAUUCUGGGAGUGUAUGCAAAAAGGGGGAGAGAGAGAUGAGACUCAAUGAGAAAUCUUGAGGAGAUGAAAUAUCUCAAAAACUAAACUCAGAGAAAUCUUAACCAUUGAUUAAGAUUGAACGGUCAAGAUCAUCUUAUGAGGCAAUAUUAGCAGAGAGUUAUGAGGAGGGGAUCCGGAUUCAUGCUGAGGAUGCAUAUCGACAACUUUUGACUAUCAGAAAGAGAAAAAUAGAUUACAAAUUUGAUUUUUUAUAUAGGCAAUGUACUAUAUAUGCACUCAGACUGAUGUACUCAUGACUGAUCAGAACUGAACCAAAUGUACUAUAUAUCUACUUUCUUUCUUUAAUUAUGAAUAGUUGAUGCAGAUACAUGCUUAAAGAAUAGAAAAACUUGUAUGAAUUAUCAAGAACAAGAAAAAUAAUUACCAUUAAGUAAAGAGUACACUAGAGUUGUACUAGUAAGAACUAAAGUAAUGUCAUUCAUAGAGAGGGAAGCUUAAGAAGCAAGUGUUUCCCUAUAUUAUACUGGAAUAGAGAUAAGUUGGUCUCUUGAAAUGCAAGCAUUGGUGAGCAACGCAGCCAAUCAUACGUAUUCAUAUUCAUGAUCAACUUUUGAUGCAUUACCCAGAUUUCCACUUACAGCUACAGAAAAGUUGCACUAAACUAAUGCUUAAAAAUCAUCGACAAAAUCGGAUUAGUAUAACUGAUCAUGGACAUCAGAUACAAUGCAUUAUCUGAUAUAAUAUGCCCAACUGGGGCAAACAUAGAGCAUAAAAUUUCGAGGAGAUUAAGAUGCCGAAACUAUAUUUUAUGCAGGAAACAAGAAAGCAUGCCUAUUCGGAGCUGAAUCAGAAUAUAAUCCAUACUUAUUUGUUAUAAUGAGGUUUUGUUGUACCCGUGCUUGAAAGUAAAAUCAACCUAAUCAGGUCCAAAUUCAUAGCAGGCAAGAUUAAGAAGGCAAUUUGGUCUUGUUUAAUCUGUCAAAGUCAGGGUGCUACAGCUGGUUCAAUGGAUUAUUCAGAUUUCCUAAAUUGCAUAAAACUAAUAGACAGCUAUAUACAAUUCAUGCAGUUACAAACAAUAUGUGCAUAAUUUAUAAUAGAGAGACAAGAAACUUACCCAAUGUGUACAAAGAGGCAUAGAAUAAAGCUAAGAAAGUAAUGAAAAGAGAAACCUUAAAACCCAGUCCAAGGUAGGCUACUUCUCAGUAUUAUAUUUUCUUGUUUAAGGAAGAAAUUGACAAAUAAUACAGAAGACUUGGAGUACUUUGUGUCCUUUUCAACUAAGAAGCGAUACAAGUUUAUGGUUCUAUGUGUGUAUUCAUUAUAAUAUGAAAGCGCCCUUUCCUUGGUUCCUAGAGACAAUAAAGAAGAGU